CAUGCAGAAGACACUCAUUGUCAUCGUCGUGGUCGCCGCCUGUGUCGGAGCCAUCUCUGCACAGGUGGUAUGUCCCAAGGAGUGCCUAGGGCUGGCAGGAGGGCCUCCGGUUGCAGAAGACGAACUGCAGUCUGGACGCGAUGGGAGGGACCUGCCCCGUCAAAGUCUACGAGCGCCACUUCCCGCCUCAGCGACCAGAGCAGAUAGCAAGCCGAUACCCCUGGAAAACAACGUUAGCGAAGUGUAUAAUCCAGCGUCUUGGUAUUAUCUGCGUCCACCGCUUCGUCCAUCUAGGGGCUAAACCACGACGCAAGAAGGUGGAUGAGCUCUUACCAACCAACAACCUCACUGACGUACAACGGCUACUGACAAUUCCAGGCCUGUUGCUGUUCACCACCGUAGUAAUGAUAACAUCUUCACUAAUAAAUGCAGACUAUUUGCUACGAUAUCUGUCGCUCUUUCAAUAAUACGAGUAAUAACAGCACCAUAUGCAGAAAUAACUCGCACGAAUAUUAAUUUCCACAAUUCUAUUGGAAAUAAAGUACUUCUUUUCCUCA
rnacentral:lncRNA from 1 species